rnacentral:rRNA from 1 species
AGCAGCCGCGGUAAUUCCAGCUCCAAUAGCGUAUAUUAAAGUUGUUGCAGUUAAAAAGCUCGUAGUUGAAUUUUAGGCCUGGCCAGGCGGUCCGUCUUUGGCGAGUACUGUCUUGUUGUCGGGUCUUCCUUCUGGUGAACCAGUAUGUCCUUUAUUGGGUGUGUUGGGGAGCCAGGACCAUUACCUUGAAAAAAUUAGAGUGUUUAAAGCGGGCUAUUGCUUGAAUAGAUUAGCAUGGAAUAAUAGAAUAGGACGUUGUGGUUCUAUUUUGUUGGUUUCUAGGACCACCGUAAUGAUUAAUAGGGAUAGUUGGGGGCAUUAGUAUUCAAUUGUCAGAGGUGAAAUUCUUGGAUUUAUUGAAGACUAACUACUGCGAAAGUAUUUGCCAAGGAUGUUUUCAUUAAUCAAGAACGAAAGUUAGGGGAUCGAAGACGAUCAGAUACCGUCGUAGUCUUAACCAUAAACUAUGCCGACUAGGAAUCGGGCGACGUUAUUUCACGACUCGCUCGGCGCCUUACGG